AUUUCGUUCCAACAUUUCCCAAUUUCAGGUACUCAACAUAUUGUCGUCAGAUCAAUCAAACUGGGGAUGGGCUGACAUUGCCCUUUUCCUCCCUUGAAGAGUCCAGCUAACAAGCAUAUUCCUGCUCACUGUUCCAUUACGCAAGUAUUUCAAGAUUAAGCUGUUUCUUGGAUGGUGUUGCUCUUGAACAUUCAGUAAGCAAGGUAAGUGUGAUGAUUUGUGCACUCUGCUAACUUUGCGGCCAUUUCUUGACUCGUUUAUUAGCUGAUUCAAAUGUAAGUGAAAAGGUAUUAGACAUUAAUCAUUCAUAUAAAUGGGUUUACAGCUGAUGAAUUUGGUUGACCACAACUAGUAGAUCUCUAGAUAUUUUAAUCAGCUGUGCUUUCUGUUCUGUACUUGUAACGGUUUGCCCAGAAGAGAUAAUGGAGGAAAUUUAGACUGCUAAGUAUGCACAUUAACCAGUAAAACCUCUCUAGGUGGUAGUGAUUCAAAUUGCUACCAGAAAGCCAUGGCGUGUGUCGAAAGAUGCUGGUAAUAUUGUUGACCGUUGAGAUAAGCACUGAACUGAAAUAGUAUCCCAUGGAAAGUGAAACCCAAGAGAGGGAAGUGGCCAAAGAUCUCAUGCUUUUCGGGGCCUCGGUGAAGAAGAAGUCCAUCAUGCCGGCUAAGGUGAAAAGAUCAGCAGAUCCCAGAAACAAGUACUGGAGAGCUAUCCAUAGGAAUGUGAUCGGUAGAGGCUCCGCAGAAUUAAGUAGCCCCGACUCGAUUGCUACCUUUUUCCUCUUCAUUUCCACUACAGCUGCCACUGCCAUUGCAAUGAUGGAUAGAAUCAGCCCUGUUCCUAUUCUCUGGAGAUGAGUGAUUCCCAUUUCAGUCUUGGUUACUUUCCUGGCAAAUGGAACCACGACAUGGUUAUAGGUUGGUGCAAUGAGCAUCACGAAGAUGACAGGGAAGACAGGUAGAGAAGCUGGUGGAACUUUUAAGGAACCAAUCUUGGUGUUCAUGGUGGCUGCUUGUUGGAUAGAAAAGGUAGAGAGCUGAGCAAGGCAGCAGUUCAGCAUUAUAGUGCACAUAAAAACUGGGAUUAUUUUUAGCACUACCUUCACCUCUUCUACUUGCUUUACUGUACACUGUAACAUUGGGCUAACUGUUUUUUCAGUGACUGCUUUAUUUAGGAACUCCAGGUCUUCUGUAAGAGUCUGACUUGGGACCUUCACCUUGGUAGCAUUCCCUUCUUCACCGGUUUCAGUAGUGUAGGAUGAGGGACUUGUCUUCAUGCCCAUGACUGCAUUGCUUGGAUUCUUAGACUUGCAAUUGUUGCAAACUGCUGCAAUUAAAACCUGUUGGGCAUGAAUGAGAAAGGGUCACUUAGUCAAGCUCUAGCUUUGCAACUUGCGGAGAGCCAAGGAGAAAAACGGGGAUAGAAGCCAGUAUUGCAGCAGUAGCAACACCAAAACCCCAUUGCCACCCUUUGUUGUCUUCAAUCCAUACCACAAAUGUUACUGCAAUUAAAGCUCCACAAGAGAGGGAGAAAACAUAGUAAUUGAAGAAGGAUGAUCUCUGCUUCCUCCCUUGUGGGGUGGUAUCAUCAAAUUGCUCAGCUCCAUGAGGGGGAAGUGAACCUUUUAUUCCACCAACACCUAGUGCCACCAGAUAAAGUCCAGUAAACAACAUGGCUGCUUUCCGCCGAUUGACUUUCUCGCAUUGAAUUUCAGUGCUUGCUGAAGCACAAAUUGGUGAUUUCAGUGAAGGUGUGUGAGCUUGCACUGUGAGUAUCAAUAACCCCUGUUUGAUUAUUAGAAUUUGUUAAAAAAAUCAGGCAGAAGCCAAGUAAAAAAUAUCUGCGGGAAAACAAACAAAAGCCCCUAUUACUUAUUACACAUCUAAAAACAAUGGCAAAUGGAGUUUUAAUGGGCAUCAUGUUCUUUUGGUCACACUACAUUUACUUUAUGAAGAUUGGGGGAGCUUGUAUGGCACAUACACUUUUGCCCCCUUAAUUGCAUUAAUAACACCCGCUUUUAAUCAAGUUUUUACAUGGUUGGACAUGGACUGCAUUUAAUUGAAGUGGACUCAGAUGGGGAAUUAGACGUGGAAUUUUUUUCUUCCACCAAUAAAAUUUCUCUAAAGGAAAAGCAGAUUCAUUUGUGGGACCAAGCCCAGUUGCCAUGAAAUGUAGGGACCUCAUCAGGUGGGCCUAGGGUAGUAACAUAUCCCUUUGAAAUGCUAAUUGGGACAUGCAGCAUUGUUCACACAUGCUUCUAGAUGAAUGGAGCAUUAAAUGUUUCGUCGUGCUUGAAAUAACAAACAGAUACUUUGUGGUGAUUUCUGCUCUACACCCUUCCUACCAAAGAGACUUGAAAUUUAUGUUACCCGAAUUUGGGUGUAAGUUUUGGAUAUGGCUAAGUGCCCAAAACAGAUAUGGUCAGGUUUUUUUAAGUUUUUACAUGUAUUGUGAGGAUCUUUGAAAGUCAUAACUCCAUAUAUCAAACACAAGUGUUUGAUGCUGAGUAACUCAACAAAAAUGAAAAAUCGGAGCAACAUAGCUUGAAAAAGCCAAUUAAGUGCUCUCUUGACCAACUUGUACCCCAGUUGAUGGCAGCUUUUGUGCUGGUCGAUUUUCAUAUUUCAAUAUUCGGCUAGUUUAUUGUUGUCAUCUAAGCUUCCAAAGAAAAUGGGGAAAAAAUUAACAUAAAGUUGAAGAGUUUAAGUUUACUAAAGAUUCUUACCAUGAAUUCUAUUGCAGCACUUGUCAAAUAGAGGCGAUAGGUGGUGAAGAAAGCAUCCGAUAAAAAGCCACCAAGGACAGCAAGGAGGAAGGCUGUUCCCAUGAAAUUGGUAACAAUAUUUGCAGAACUUGAUGGAGAGUAGUGCAUGAACUUUGAAAGGUAUAGCACAAGGUUGCUUGCAUUAGCCAGGAAAGCUAGAUUCUCCAGUAUCUCCACCACUAGGAUAUAAUUUAAUUGCAAUAUCAAUAUAAGAUAAUAUAACAUAUCGUAAAAAUUUCUUUCAUAUUGUUGAAUUUACUAUAUCUAAACUGCUCUUUGCUGCAACAACCAAGUUGCGUACUUUUGUAAGACCUUGGAAUCAGAUAAAAAACAAUACAGAUGAUGGUGCUACUGACCUAAGACAAAGGAGGCUGCUAGCAUGCCACCGUGUUGGUCUCUCAUGGCAGGUUUAUUCCUCCAAUUUACAUACCCUUCCCAUUUGUUUAACUCUUGUCCUUCUUCCUGCAACAAUGAACCAGCAACUGAAUUAGAAACAAGUGGCAAAGCGUGAAGAUAAAAUAAGAAAAAGGAACAAGAUGUUAAGAUCACCAUAGCAACGUUUAUUGUUAUUAUUAUAUUUAGUGUUUUAAACUCAGGAGGGAUAUCUCUGGUAGAGAAGACUUUGAUACAGAAUUUCUUGAAUAAAAGGUAGUAGAGAUUUGAGUUAUUUAUAUAGACAGAAAAUAUGUGGUCCAAGCCUUAGAGAAAGGUCUAGACCCUAUGAUAAUGACUACUCAUUUCCUCCUAUAUUGUCAGUGUAGGUUGUAGAUUGAAGGGGAGGGGAAGCGAGAGAGAGAGAGAGAGAGGGAUACUAGUGGAGGUGUAUUCUUAUCUAAGAUCACUUGGUUAUAGUGAAUCAUACAGGAAAUGAUGAUAAAAAUGAGAAGCAUAAUAGGUUAGGAAUCAAGACCUGUUUGCACACUUGUUAUGAUGAUUGAAAAAUGCUGUUAUGUUUUCUGUUUUAGAUGGGCUCCGAUUACCCCAGACGAUAUGCCUAACCAUUAUCAUCAAAACAACACGAAUAAGAAGAUUAUUUGAACUUCAUGAUGAUGGUCAUAUUUAUUAUUUACGCAAAGGAGCUCAUAAAGAGGAAAGAAUUGCAAAUAUUAAGUCCAACGUUUACAUGGAACCAACUGGAUUAAUUCUCAGUGUUUUCAGCUUCAAUUCUCACAAGUCAAGUCACUAGAAAGAAGGACAUCUGAGGAGUGUGGUGUACUAUUUGAUUCCAAUGGCAUUACCUUCAUCACCGGUUUCCUUUGUAGGCCACCUGAAAGUCCCUUUGCUCAGCCGAUUAUGUGGACGUGAUAACGAUGUACCUUUUCCAAAUCUCCAAAUUGGGUGGCUUAUAGCCUUUUAGGAUUGGGACCAGACUUCCUUCCAUUUGCUUGCAUGCAUAUAUUGCCACCCAUGCUUAGAUGCUUUUCAUGGGACACAUCGCUGAAGCUUUCCGGCCAUAACAAAUAACUUGGAAGUUAGGUGUGGGUUUCCACAAGUUUUUGCCGUUGGCCUUGAUAUGUUAACCAUUAUAAUGAAACAAUGUAAGGUGAAUUAGCAUUUUAGGAAACAAUUAAAUAAAAGCCAAUGAAAUUAAAGGGUGACCACACGAGAAUGAGAUUGCAUGUGCAUUAAACUAGUAUAUUGAGCAGCAUAUCUUGUUGACCAUAGCAGGAAUGGGCAUACUGUAGAGGUUGGACAAUGUCACUAUACGCCCAGCUCCUUUGCCUAUUGAUGAAGGAAGAGUCGUACCGGACGCAGGCCGAUGUUCCCUCACAUACCACCGCCCACUGAUCCAUGCCCCCCUUCUGCACCUCUUUAAAGAUUUUAUUCAUUUUUUUAGCAUAAUAAUUUUUUUAAAUCAUUUGUCAUUUAUUUAAUUUUUCGUCUCUUUUAAGUCUUUAAUUUGUAUUCUUUUAUCAAAUUAACAUUUUUUAA